CCCGAAAGUGCUAGCUUACGAAGACACCAUCCAUUGGCUGAUUUGAGAAAGAUAUGAUGGAAUUGAAGAAUAAAGAGACCUUUUCCUUUUCUUUCUAGAUCCAUGCAUCUGAUCUCUACAAUAGAGAUCAAGAGAAAAACCCUUUCUUCUCAAUUUCCCAUUUACAAGAGAGAACCUUUCUCUCUUCCUUUCAUGCCCCUAAGAAGAACUUUUCUUCUAUAAUUUUCUAUGAUAAAAAUCUAAUCUAAUCUAAUUUUUUAUACUAAAAAUUAUAUAAAAUUUUGAGAUCUAGAAAAAUCCAAAAGAGGGAUCCAAGAGAAGAACCGUU
rnacentral:lncRNA from 1 species